rnacentral:rRNA from 1 species
UAAUACAGAGGGUGCAAACGUUGUUCGGAAUCACUGGGCGUAAAGCGCGUGUAGGCGGCCGAUCGUGUCGAGUGUGAAAGCCCUCGGCUUAACCGAGGAAGUGCGCUCGAAACUGGUUGGCUUGAGUUCCGGAGAGGAAGGUGGAAUUCCCGGUGUAGAGGUGAAAUUCGUAGAUAUCGGGAGGAACACCAGUGGCGAAAGCGACCUUCUGGACGGAUACUGACGCUGAGACGCGAAAGCGUGGGGAGCAAACAGGAUUAGAUACCCUGGUAGUCCACGCCGUAAACGGUGGGCACUAGGUGUGGCGGGUGUUGACCCCUGCCGUGCCGAAGCUAACGCAUUAAGUGCCCCGCCUGGGGAGUACGGCCGCAAGGUUA